AUUGAACGCUGGCGGCAUGCUUUACACAUGCAAGUCGAACGGUAACAGGUUAAGCUGACGAGUGGCGAACGGGUGAGUAAUGCAUCGGAACGUGCCCGAUCGUGGGGGAUAACGCAGCGAAAGCUGCGCUAAUACCGCAUACGAUCUGAGGAUGAAAGCGGGGGACCGUAAGGCCUCGCGCGAUCGGAGCGGCCGAUGUCAGAUUAGGUAGUUGGUGGGGUAAAGGCCCACCAAGCCGACGAUCUGUAGCUGGUCUGAGAGGACGACCAGCCACACUGGGAAUGAGACACGGCCCAGACUCCGACGGGAGGCAGCAGCGGGGAAUUUUGGACAAUGGGCGAAAGCCUGAUCCAGCAAUGCCGCGUGCAGGAAGAAGGCCUUCGGGUUGUAAACCGCUUUUGUCCGGGAAGAAAAGGCACCUCCUAAUACGGGGUGCUCUUGACGGUACUGGAAGAAUAAGCACCGGCUAACUACGUGCCAGCCGCCGCCGUAAUAC
rnacentral:rRNA from 1 species